GGGAGGAGGCCGGAUCCUGGGCUGUGUCCCCAGCGCCCAGGGCUCCCAGGCCUGCGCUGUUUGAUUUGCGCUCCCGGGGCACAGUCCCCU
rnacentral:pre_miRNA from 1 species